rnacentral:rRNA from 1 species
CACCGCGGUUAUACGAGAGGCCCAAGUUGACAAAUACCGGCGUAAAGAGUGGUUAAUACAAUUUUAUACUAAAGCCGAACACCAUCAAAGCUGUUAUACGCACCCGAAGGCAGGAAGCCCCACAACGAAAGUAGCUUUAAACAUUAUUGAACCCACGAAAGCUAGGAAA